GCCAGCAUGGUGCAAUGGUUUGAAUGUUGGGCUACAACUCUGGAGACCAGGGUUCGAAUCCCCGCUCAGCCA